AACGAACGCUGGCGGCAUGCCUAACACAUGCAAGUCGAACGAGAUCUUCGGGUCUAGUGGCGCACGGGUGCGUAACGCGUGGGAAUCUGCCCUUUGGUUCGGAAUAACAGUUGGAAACGACUGCUAAUACCGGAUGAUGACGAGAGUCCAAAGAUUUAUCGCCAGAGGAUGAGCCCGCGUAGGAUUAGCUAGUUGGUGUGGUAAAGGCGCACCAAGGCGACGAUCCUUAGCUGGUCUGAGAGGAUGAUCAGCCACACUGGGACUGAGACACGGCCCAGACUCCUACGGGAGGCGGCAGUGGGGAAUAUUGGACAAUGGGCGAAAGCCUGAUCCAGCAAUGCCGCGUGAGUGAUGAAGGCCUUAGGGUUGUAAAGCUCUUUUACCCGGGAUGAUAAUGACAGUACCGGGAGAAUAAGCUCCGGCUAACUCCGUGCCAGCCGCCGCAGUAA
rnacentral:rRNA from 1 species